GAUGAACGCUGGCGGCGUGCCUAAUACAUGCAAGUCGAGCGAACGGACGAGAAGCUUGCUUCUCUGAUGUUAGCGGCGGACGGGUGAGUAACACGUGGAUAACCUACCUAUAAGACUGAGAUAACUUCGGGAAACCGGAGCUAAUCCCGGAUAAUAUUUUGAACCGCAUGGUUCAAAAGUGAAAUACGGUCUUGCUGUCACUUAUAGAUGGAUACGCGCUGCAUUAGCUAGUUGGUAAGGUAACGGCGUACCAAGGCAGCUAUGCAUAGCCGACCUGAGAGAGUGAUCGGCCACAUUGGAAGUGGGACACGGUCCAGGCUACUGAGGGACGCAGCAGUAGGGAACGGUACGCAAUGGGCGAGAGCCUGGCGGAGCAACGCCACGUCAGAGAUGACGGUCUUGGGAGCGUAAAGAUCGGUUAUUAGGUGAGAACAUAUGUGUAAGUAACUGUGGAGAGCUUGACGGUACCUAAUCAGAAAGCCACGGCUAACUACGUG
rnacentral:rRNA from 1 species